rnacentral:pre_miRNA from 1 species
AGUGGGAUAGCUGGGUCAAAUGUUGGUUCCAUUCCUACUUUUCUGAGGAAUCUCCAUACUGCUUUCCAGAAGUGCUGCACCAAUUUCUAGUCCCAAUAACAAU